rnacentral:rRNA from 1 species
AAAUUGAAGAGUUUGAUCAUGGCUCAGAUUGAACGCUGGCGGCAGGCCUAACACAUGCAAGUCGAACGGUAACAGGAAGCAGCUUGCUGCUUCGCUGACGAGUGGCGGACGGGUGAGUAAUGUCUGGGAAACUGCCUGAUGGAGGGGGAUAACUACUGGAAACGGUGGCUAAUACCGCAUAACGUCGCAAGACCAAAGAGGGGGACCUUCGGGCCUCUUGCCAUCAGAUGUGCCCAGAUGGGAUUAGCUUGUUGGUGAGGUAACGGCUCACCAAGGCGACGAUCCCUAGCUGGUCUGAGAGGAUGACCAGCCACACUGGAACUGAGACACGGUCCAGACUCCUACGGGAGGCAGCAGUGGGGAAUAUUGCACAAUGGGCGCAAGCCUGAUGCAGCCAUGCCGCGUGUAUGAAGAAGGCCUUCGGGUUGUAAAGUACUUUCAGCGGGGAGGAAGGUGUUGUGGUUAAUAACCGCAGCAAUUGACGUUACCCGCAGAAGAAGCACCGGCUAACUCCGUGCCAGCAGCCGCGGUAAUACGGAGGGUGCAAGCGUUAAUCGGAAUUACUGGGCGUAAAGCGCACGCAGGCGGUCUGUCAAGUCGGAUGUGAAAUCCCCGGGCUCAACCUGGGAACUGCAUUCGAAACUGGCAGGCUUGAGUCUUGUAGAGGGGGGUAGAAUUCCAGGUGUAGCGGUGAAAUGCGUAGAGAUCUGGAGGAAUACCGGUGGCGAAGGCGGCCCCCUGGACAAAGACUGACGCUCAGGUGCGAAAGCGUGGGGAGCAAACAGGAUUAGAUACCCUGGUAGUCCACGCCGUAAACGAUGUCUACUUGGAGGUUGUGCCCUUGAGGCGUGGCUUCCGGAGCUAACGCGUUAAGUAGACCGCCUGGGGAGUACGGCCGCAAGGUUAAAACUCAAAUGAAUUGACGGGGGCCCGCACAAGCGGUGGAGCAUGUGGUUUAAUUCGAUGCAACGCGAAGAACCUUACCUGGUCUUGACAUCCACGGAAGUUUUCAGAGAUGAGAAUGUGCCUUCGGGAACCGUGAGACAGGUGCUGCAUGGCUGUCGUCAGCUCGUGUUGUGAAAUGUUGGGUUAAGUCCCGCAACGAGCGCAACCCUUAUCCUUUGUUGCCAGCGAUUCGGUCGGGAACUCAAAGGAGACUGCCAGUGAUAAACUGGAGGAAGGUGGGGAUGACGUCAAGUCAUCAUGGCCCUUACGACCAGGGCUACACACGUGCUACAAUGGCGCAUACAAAGAGAAGCGACCUCGCGAGAGCAAGCGGACCUCAUAAAGUGCGUCGUAGUCCGGAUUGGAGUCUGCAACUCGACUCCAUGAAGUCGGAAUCGCUAGUAAUCGUGGAUCAGAAUGCCACGGUGAAUACGUUCCCGGGCCUUGUACACACCGCCCGUCACACCAUGGGAGUGGGUUGCAAAAGAAGUAGGUAGCUUAACCUUCGGGAGGGCGCUUACCACUUUGUGAUUCAUGACUGGGGUGAAGUCGUAACAAGGUAACCGUAGGGGAACCUGCGGUUGGAUCACCUCCUUACCUGAAAGAAGC